CCCUUAUACACCUCCCCAGCUAUACAGUUUAAUAUACUCUUCCCUUAUACACCUCCCCAGCUAUACAGUUUAAUAUACUCUUCCCUUGUAGGCAUCACCUCCCCAGCUAUACAGUUUAUGGCCCCAAUGAGAUUCCCUCCUUUCCCCUGUGAAAUGUCCAUGGUUGUCUCUUUGUUUAGCUAUAUUUCAGAAUCGCAUGCCGUCCAUCUUCUGUUCUGGGCCUGACCCUGCCCUCUGAUCCUAGGCAAUUUCCUCUUAUCUGAUUUGUUCAACAUUUCUAAACUAGCAUACACACAGUUUCAUGGCCUGAACUCCAUUAAUACUCACAGUAAUCUUUCACUAAACAGGAUACAAACAAAUGACAGUUUAACUUGAAACAUGUUACACUUUUAAUAGAAUCCAUCAGCACUAUAUAGGGAAUAGACUGCCAUUUGGGACCAAAACAUAGUGCACUAUAUAGGGAAUAGACUGCCAUUUGGGACCAAAACAUAGUACACUAUAUAGGGAAUAGACUGCCAUUAGAGACAUAGCCUUACAUCAGUCUAUUCAGUCCAUGUUUCACACUUUAGGUUGACAACAGUUUUCACUAGAUGGCCAUGCUGCAAUGAGAGAAAUUCCUGUUCUUCUGUACACUGCAGCAUGGCUAGAUAGUGACUAGUGUUGAGAAUAUCACCAUAGUGAGCUGAUGACCACUAGGAGGAGCCGCUGUAAACUCCUUAGACACUAGAGUAUACAAAACAUUAUGAACACCUGCUCUCUCAAUGACAUAGACUGACCAGGUGAAUCCAGGUGAAAGCUAUAGUCCCUUAUUGAUGUCACUUGUUAAAUCCACUUCAAUCAGUGUAGAUGAAGGGGAGGAGACGGGUUAAAGAAGAAUUUAACUCGAUAUUAGGAAUGUGUUCCUGAUCAUAUUUACUCCGUGUAUGUUCUCCGUUUCUUUGUGGUGGUCUAGAGUUGAAACUCAAACAACUUCAAUGAUCCCUGAAAAGCUGUAGUGCAAUGAUCAGUCAAAAGGUGUAGUCAGUCCAAUAUCCCCCAAAAGGUGUAGUCAGUCCAAUAUCCCUCAAAAGGUGUAGUCAGUCCGAUAUCCCUCAAAAGGUGUAGUCAGUCCAAUAUCCCUCAAAAGGUGUAGUCAGUCCAAUAUCCCUCAAAAGGUGUAGUCAGUCCAAUAUCCCCAAAAGGUGUAGUCAGUCCAAUAUCCCUCAAAAGGUGUAGUCAGUCCAAUAUCCCUCAAAAGGUGUAGUCAGUCCAAUAUCCCUCAAAAGGUGUAGUCAGUCCAAUAUCCCCCAAAAGGUGUAGUCAGUCCGAUAUCCCCCAAAAGGUGUAGUCAGUCCGAUAUCCCCCAAAAGGUGUAGUCAGUCCCAUAUCCCCCAAAAGGUGUAGUCAGUCCCAUAUCCCCCAAAAGGUGUAGUCAGUCCCAUAUCCCCCAAAAGGUGUAGUCAGUCCAAUAUCCCCCAAAAGGUGUAGUCAGUCCGAUAUCCCCCAAAAGGUGUAGUCAGUCCAAUAUCCCCCAAAAGGUGUAGUCAGUCCAAUAUCCCCCAAAAGGUGUAGUCAGUCCGAUAUCCCCCAAAAGGUGUAGUCAGUCCAAUAUCCCCCAAAAGGUGUAGUCAGUCCCAUAUCCCCAAAAGGUGUAGUCAGUCCCAUAUCCCCCAAAAGGUGUAGUCAGUCCCAUAUCCCCCAAACGGUGUAGUCAGUCCCAUAUCCCCCAAAAGGUGUAGUCAGUCCAAUAUCCCCCAAAAGGUGUAGUCAGUCCAAUAUCCCCCAAAAGGUGUAGUCAGUCCAAUAUCCCCCAAAAGGUGUAGUCAGUCCGAUAUCCCCCAAAAGGUGUAGUCAGUCCGAUAUCCCCCAAAAGGUGUAGUCAGUCCCAUAUCCCCCAAAAGGUGUAGUCAGUCCCAUAUCCCCCAAAAGGUGUAGUCAGUCCGAUAUCCCCCAAAAGGUGUAGUCAGUCCGAUAUCCCCCAAAAGGUGUUGAUGAAGUAUUAUUUGAGUGUCUUUCUAACCUCCUGAUGUUAAUUCUGUCAGGGUUGGGAUCAAUUCCAUUUCAAUUCAUUCCGAUUCCACAUUUUCCUCAUUGAAAAGCAUGGACUAGAAUUGGAAUCUGCUUUUCAGUGUACUUGUUGGAUUGACUGGAAUUCAAAUGGAAUUUGACCCCAACCCUGGUCUCUACAUAACAGAGUAGGUCUUCUGUCGUCAGACACUGCACACCGUACAGAAAAUGGAGGCCCAUAAUGUUGAAGUUUUGUAAAUUAUUUGUAUUUUACCUGACCACUUGUGUAAUAUUUGUAUAUUCUGGUCGUAGGGUUUCAAAACUAUUUCAACAAGAUAAGUGUUUUAAAAACCUUAUGACGGAUCAAACAAACACGGACUUUCAUCUCCGAUUUCACUGUUCACCUGUAGACCAAUUAUUUAAUAUUUAUUCUGUACAUAGAUAAUAUAGUCAAUCACCACAUUCAUUAUAUUCAUAUUUACAUAUAGAGCCGCUAGUUUAAAGGAGAUCUUAUGCUUAGUAUGUUUAAUGGUUGUCUAUAUUUCACACACGAAGAGGCCACUUUCCUGAAUAUUUAAAGGGGUAAUCUACAGUUGCUAGAUUCAUUUUUGGACAUUUUAAAGUAAUGAUAUAGUACCAUUUAAUUCUAGAAGAAUUUGACUUAAAAAUGCCUCAGGAGCUUAGUUCCACAGUUUUACCCCAUCAGAACCCAAAAUAUAAGCUUGUUUUACUCCAAUGUUUGUAAACAAUGUAAAUGUAAACAAAACACUAUAUCCUAAUGACAUGGUGAAAACUUCAAUUUUGAUGUCAUGGAUGGUCAGUCCCUGCAUCCAUAUCUCUAGGAAUUUGAGUGAUUACGUUUCUUCAGCUCAACCCCCCGCUUUUUACCGAAACGGGUGGAGACAAACACUUCGAUUUUGUUUCAACUGCUAGAUUGGCCCUUUUAAAGGAGGUAAGCUGGAGGAAAGAAUUAGGACCCUUUAUGGUUGGUUACAAGCGUUUCACCAUGUUUUUAAUGAGAUUGUCCCUUACACACAGUUGUGAUUUUGUGUUGAAAAUAAAGUACUUUGUGUGCAUCACAGGUAUGCUGUAUGGCCAAAAGCAUGUGGACAACCCUUUUAAAUUAGUGGAUUUAGCUAUUUCAGCCACCAGCCACACCCAUUCAUGACGGGUGUAUAUAAUAGAGCACAACGACAUGCAAUCUUCAUAGACAAACAUUGGCAGUAGAAUGGCUAUACUGAAGAGCUUAGUGACUUUUCAACGUGGCACCCUCAAAGGAUGCCACCUUUCCAACAAGUCAGUUUGUCAAAUUUCUACCCUGCUAGAGCUUCCCCGGUCAACUGUAAGUGCUGUUAGUGUGAAGUGGAAACGUUUAAGAGCAACAACGGCUCAGCCGUGAAGUGGUAGGCCACACAAGCCCACAGAACGGGACCGCCAAGUGCUGAAGCAUGUAGCACGUUAAAAUCGCCUGUCCUCGGUUGCAACACUCACUACCGAGUUCUAAACGGCCUCUGGAAGCAACAUCAGCACAAUAACUGUUUGUCGGGAGCUUCAUGAAAUGGGUUUCCAUGGCCGAGCAGCCGCACACAAACCUAAGAUCACCAUGCGCAAUGCCAAGCAUCAGCUGGAGGGGUGUAAAAGCUCAAAAGUGCACAAAGCGAGGUCCAUACAGAAAUGUUUUGUCGAGAUCGGUGUGGAAUAACUUGACUGGCCUGCGUAGAGCCCUGACCUCAACCCUAUCGAACACCUUUGGGAUGAACUGGAACGCCAACUGCGAGCCAGGCCUAAUCGCCCAACAUCCGUGCCUGACCUCACUAAUUCUGUUCUGGCUGAAUGGAAGCAAGUCCCCAGAACGAUGUUCCAACAUCUAGUGGAAAGCCUUUCCAGAAGAGUGGAGGCUGUUAUAUCAUCAAAGGGGGGGACCAAUUCUAUAUUAAUGCCCAUGAUUGUGGAAUGAGAUGUUCAACAAGCAGGUGUCCACAUACUUUUGUUCAUAUAGUGGAGACAACUAUGAUUUUGUUUUAAGAUUUGGACUGGUGCGGACCAACCAAAUGUGGUCUUGUAUUGGGGCAGAGCUCAUUAAAACUAGGUUAUUACAUA